GACGAAGGACCCAAGCGUUAUCCGGAUUCAUUGGGUUUAAAGGGUGCGUAGGCGGGUUGAUAAGUCAGUGGUGAAAGCCCAUCGCUUAACGAUGGAACUGCCAUUGAUACUGUCGAUCUUGAAUAUGUUUGAUGUGGGCGGAAUAUGACAUGUAGCGGUGAAAUGCUUAGAUAUGUCAUAGAACACCGAUUGCGAAGGCAGCUCACAAAGCCAUUAUUGACGCUGAGGCACGAAAGUGUGGGGAUCAAACAGG
rnacentral:rRNA from 1 species